rnacentral:rRNA from 1 species
CGGAAAAAGAGGAGUGGCGAACGGGUGAGUAACACGUGGGUAACCUGCCCAUCAGAAGGGGAUAACACUUGGAAACAGGUGCUAAUACCGUAUAACAAUCGAAACCGCAUGGUUUUGAUUUGAAAGGCGCUUUCGGGUGUCGCUGAUGGAUGGACCCGCGGUGCAUUAGCUAGUUGGUGAGGUAACGGCUCACCAAGGCCACGAUGCAUAGCCGACCUGAGAGGGUGAUCGGCCACAUUGGGACUGAGACACGGCCCAAACUCCUACGGGAGGCAGCAGUAGGGAAUCUUCGGCAAUGGACGAAAGUCUGACCGAGCAACGCCGCGUGAGUGAAGAAGGUUUUCGGAUCGUAAAACUCUGUUGUUAGAGAAGAACAAGGAUGAGAGUAACUGUUCAUCCCUUGACGGUAUCUAACCAGAAAGCCACGGCUAACUACGUGCCAGCAGCCGCGGUAAUACGUAGGUGGCAAGCGUUGUCCGGAUUUAUUGGGGCGUAAAGCGAGCGCAGGCGGUUUCUUAAGU